AUUGCACGCUGGCGGCAGGCCUAACACAUGCAAGUCGAGCGAGCGGCGGACGGGUGAGUAAUGUCUGGGAAACUGCCUGAUGGAGGGGGAUAACUACUGGAAACGGUAGCUAAUACCGCAUACCAUCAGAUGUGCCCAGAUGGGAUUAGCUAGUAGGUGGGGUAACGGCUCACCUAGGCAACGAUCCCUAGCUGGUCUGAGAGAAUGACCAGCCACACUGGAAUGUAGACACGGUCCAGACUCCUACGGUAGGCAGCAGUGGGGAAUAUUGCACAAUGGGCGCAAGCCUGAUGCAGCCAUGCCGCGGGUGUGAAAGAGGCCUUCGGGUUGUAAAGCACUUUCAGCGGGGAGGCGUUACCCGCAGAAGAAGCACCGGCUAACUCCGUGCCAGCAGCCGCGGUAAUAC
rnacentral:rRNA from 1 species